AUUGAACGCUGGCGGCGUGCUUAACACAUGCAAGUCGGUCGGUAACGCGGGGGCAACCCUGGCGACGAGAGGCGGACGGGUGAGGAACGCUUGGGAAUCUGCCUAUCAGCGGGGGACAACACGGGGAAACUCGUGCUAAUACCGCAUACGCUCUACGGAGGAAAGCCGGGGACCGCAAGGCCUGGCACUGAUAGAUGAGCUCAAGCCGGAUUAGCUAGUUGGCGGGGUAACGGACCACCAAGGCGACGAUCCGUAGCUGGUCUGAGAGGACGAUCAGCCACACUGGGACUGAGACACGGCCCAGACUCCUACGGGAGGCAGCAGUGGGGAAUAUUGGACAAUGGGGGAAACCCUGAUCCAGCGACGCCGUGUGGGUGAAGAAGGCCUGCGGGUUGUAAAGCCCUUUCGGUAGGGACGAAAGCUCUCGACCUAACACGUCGGGAGGUUGACUUAACCUACGAAAGAAGCACCGGCUAACUCUGUGCCAGCCGCCGCGGUAAAAC
rnacentral:rRNA from 1 species